GAGAUGCGAUAAGUAAUGUGAAUUGCAGAAUUCAGUGAAUCAUCGAAUCUUUAAACGCACAUUGCGCCCGCGAGUAUUCUGGCGGGCCUGCGUGUUCGAGCGUCAUUUCAUCCAUCAAUCUUUAGGCUUGUGUUGGAGCCCUGCGGCUGUCCGCAGGCCCCUAAAUACAGUGGCGGGCUCGCUAUCACACCGAGUGCAGUAGUUUUCUUUCUCGCUCAGGGCGUGUAGUGGGUGCUUGCCGUGAAACCCCUUUUUCACAAGGUUGAGCUCGGAUGAGGUAGGAAUACCCGCUGACCUUAA
rnacentral:misc_RNA from 1 species